GCGAAACUCACCGGCUCCAAUGAGCUAUGGUGUUUUAUUGCAGAAUUAUUGGCUCCAUAAUGCCGUCGUUGCUCCAGUCACAAUGAAACCAACCAUGAUCGUCUCUCUCUCUCUCGAGAAGUAGAAAUUUGUUGUGUUAGAGGAGGCGAGAGUGCAGGAGAAUGAGGUGGAGAAUUGAGGAAGGCGAUUUGGUGUGCUGGUGGUGGAGGGGAUUGCCAGGAGUCUGGGGGAGUGAGAGAGUGUUGGAAAGAAUUCCGUGGAGAAUGGUGGGAGAAUGAGUCAGCCGAGCAUUCCAUCGAGGGUUUGAUGCUGGUUAGAUUCUCGUAGCGUGACUGACUCGUCUUAUGGUCCACGGAUGGCAUAACGGAUGACAGUAGACGCGGGGGUUCAGGCUCGAGCAGGCGUUGCUGAUUAUGGGGGAACGACCGGUUUUGCCAUGAAGCGCAAGGGCUGUGGGAGAGAGAACGGAAUCGAGAAAUAGGCGAAUGUUUCUGCUAUGAUGCUGUGGUUGUAAUGAGGAGGAGGUGGAAUUGGUGAUGCAUUGCUGUUUGCGGAAGCUGGUGCUCUGCUUGUCAGAUGUGCCUGGAUGCGAAGGUAGGGGCUUGAGAAAAUGGAAAUCGUAUGAAGGGAGUGCGCCGGAAGGAUGACUGGCGUCAAAGAGGCGCGGCAAAGGUUGGACAAAACGUUGGCAUCAGUGGCUCUGUCAGAUCCUGCGAUUCUCAGUAACCUUGUUCGUAAACAGUUGCUGAAAACCAACCCAGGUCGUCAGCUACGUUGCGCAAGGGUCCGAGUUCCUGCAUGGUUACUACUUUAUUCUCCUCCAAUUCUUUAAAUUCUAGUUGAUUGCCUCUCAGAGAAAAGUCGGCAACUGAUGAAGUUGUAGAGAAGAGAAGUAAACAAUUGCUGAAGUUGUUGGAUGCUUUGAAGAGUGCCAAAGGAGAGAGGUCAACGAAAGUUGUAGACGGAGAAUGGAAGGUCAAGCAAGACACUCCACGGUUUCGGGUCAUGUACCGAGAAGGACCAGAAGGUGCUCCAUACCACUCACUAUGCUUAGAGGGCAUAAUUGACGGGCCCAUGUCACACGCUGUGGUUGUUGGAUGGGAGGUGCCAAUGUAUAGGGAAUGGUGGCCGCAAUUUACUGCACCUACGUUCAAGAUCAUAGAGGCCAGGUAUCUUGAAAGGAACACAGUAGGUGGGGACCACUCUGUGCUGAGGUUCAAAGUGCCCUGGCCCUUUGCAAUGCGUGAAGUGAUUCUAUCAGCAUAUGAAUUGGAGUAUUUUGACGAAGAUCUUAUUGCAGUACUAUACAAAUCCACGCCAGAUGUGCCAGAUGAGAAAGUAGAUGGAAUUAACAGCAAUCAAAUACCAGAAUCGCUUUCGAAUGCAGUCCGUAUGGAUCUUGAGGGUGGAUUUGUAUUGCAAAAAAUUGCUCACGAUUGUAACUUUUUUCGCAUUGUUGCGGACCUGGAUAUGAAGCUGGAUUUUGUCCCUCCUUGGCUAAUCAACUUCAUUGCUAGGCAGCUUGUAGGCCAUGGUUACAAGCUGUACCAGAAGGCGGUUGCUGGGGUGAAAGGAAGUCUAUUGGAGAAGCUCGUCAACACUGACCCUAUGUAUAGGCGCAUUCAAGUUCUUGAUAAUAUGCCGUUAAAUGUGUAUGAGCAUCCGCUAAUGCCUAUGUUAUCUUCGGAGAAGGACGUUGCGGGGUUCUACGAUGGUCCAUAUAAGCAAGGAAUUGAUCCUUACGACAUGAAGCAUGGAUUUUGUCAGAUACCAGAGAACAUCGUAGAGGCAGAAAAGCGUAACACUCCAGAAGGAGAAAAGCAGAACACGUUGCUUGACAACAACAUUAAUACGACUGAUGCGCUAAGUUCAAGUGACACCUCUAAUGCUAGACGUGAGGUAGGUCUAAAUGACUCGACGUCUACGGUGUCUCCUACGCCAGAACAUCCAAGAGCGGUCCGUGAGGAAGAUAGAGCUGUAGAUCCUGAGGUUGCUUGGGCUCUUGGAGUCCUUGAGAAACUUAUAGCCCAUUUUACCAGUCAAAGAGCUUCCUCUCCAACUAGUGAAAGUAGGGGUAUCUCUAGUGUACACAAUGACAUUUCAGUUUACUCCGAGCUUGUCUGUUCAACGGCGAAGUUAGAGUCUUUUCAUGAGGUAGAAGAAUAUCUAGAUACUCUGGAGGAGUUUCAUUCGCAGAAUCCUCCGACCAACCAUGACAUGUGCGAAACUAAGACGUCUCAAUCGUCAGCAGCUCACGCCAAAGUGAUUGAAGUGCCCGAACCCGGCGCCGAAACUCCGAUUCCACUGCACGAAGGGAAACUCCAUCAAGUGAAGAGGGUUGGGUCUUCUAAAAGUACCGCAUUACCAAAUGGCAAAGAAACCAUCCAACCCUCCCGGACACAUCACAGAGGGUUGGGGUUCUUUAAGUUCGGAAGAAGGCAUAAAGAGUCGAGGAAGUAGAUUCCUCCAGAACUCGAACCGCUGUGUAGAUCUCAAAAUGAGGUCUGUGAUAUAUAGGACAGGAAAUCGUUCUCCCUGCGGGUGCUCGUGUACCAUUUGUCGCAUUCACCCACUGGCAUACCACGAUUCAUGACCCUCAAGCCUGGUUACAGCAGUGUGGAGACUGACGGUGUAUUUGUCAGGAAAACCAUUUUCGGUGAAUGCGUUUGAGCAGUUGUACCUCAGAUAGGCUCGUGCCAUCAAUGGUCUUCUCAGUUGCAAGGCAGCCUGCCAAGUUCAUGACCCCUAUACUUCAUGACAUUGAUUACCCGCAUUCCAAACCUGUGGAGAUCUUCAGUUUGAUGCUCUGACAUUGUCAGCUCAUCUAGUCAAUGCAAGCUUCUCGGUUAGAUGAAAGUCUUUGCUGCAUUUUGACUACCAGUUAUAGUCACUGGUGGUGUGCUAUUUACUGCCUUUCUAACACCUGGAAACCAAAAUCGUGCAGACUAUACUUAACUUUGUUGGAACAAUCAAAUGUCAGGCCUGGUGUAAAUAGGUAUUCACCAUUAACUGUCUUUUGCUCUUUAAUUGAACUUCAGUCUUGGGGGCUUCCAAUGCUGAAUCAAUUGAGCUAAGUACAAAGAUGACUUUCUUUUUCUACUGUGCAUCGAGGGUUGUCCAUGCAAGCAAAUUCUGAGAUAUUACUGGAAGUCAUUGAUACAA